rnacentral:rRNA from 1 species
CCUACGGGAGGCAGCAGUGGGGAAUAUUGGACAAUGGGGGGAACCCUGAUCCAGCGACGCCGCGUGAGUGAAGAAGUAUUUCGGUAUGUAAACCUCUAUCAGUAGGGAAGAAAAUGAGGGUACCUGACGAAGAAGCCCCGGGCAACUAAGGGCCAGCAACCGCGGUAAAACGAAGGGGGCAAGCGUUUUCCGGAUUUACUGGGGGUAAAGGGAGCGUAGACGGUGCAGCAAGUCUGAUGUGAAAGGUGGGGGCCUAACCCCGAGACUGCAUUUGAAACUGUUGAACUGGAGUACAGGAGAGGUAAGCGGAAUUCCGAGUGUAGCGGUGAAAUGCGUAGAUAUUAGGAGGAACACCAGUGGCGAAGGCGGCUUACUGGACUGUAACUGACGUUGAGGCUCGAAAGCGUGGGGAGCAAACAGGAUUAGAUACCCGUGUAGUC